rnacentral:rRNA from 1 species
UACGUAGGGGGCAGGCGUCAUCCGGAAUUACUGGGUGUAAAGGGAGCGUAGACGGUAAUGUAAGUCUGGAGUGAAAGGCGGGGGCCCAACCCCCGGACUGCUCUGGAAACUAUGUUACUAGAGUGCAGGAGAGGUAAGCGGAAUUCCUAGUGUAGCGGUGAAAUGCGUAGAUAUUAGGAGGAACACCAGUGGCGAAGGCGGCUUACUGGACUGUAACUGACGUUGAGGCUCGAAAGCGUGGGGAGCAAACAGG